rnacentral:rRNA from 1 species
AACGAACGCUGGCGGCAGGCCUAACACAUGCAAGUCGAGCGAAGCCUUCGGGCUUAGCGGCGGACGGGUGAGUAACGCGUGGGAACGUGCCCUUUGGUACGGAAUAGCCCCGGGAAACUGGGAGUAAUACCGUAUGUGGUCGAGAGACGAAAGAUUUAUCGCCAAAGGAUCGGCCCGCGUUGGAUUAGGUAGUUGGUGGGGUAAUGGCCUACCAAGCCGACGAUCCAUAGCUGGUUUGAGAGGAUGAUCAGCCACACUGGGACUGAGACACGGCCCAGACUCCUACGGGAGGCAGCAGUGGGGAAUCUUAGACAAUGGGGGAAACCCUGAUCUAGCCAUGCCGCGUGAUCGAUGAAGGCCUUAGGGUUGUAAAGAUCUUUCAGUGGGGAAGAUAAUGACUGUACCCACGGAAGAAGCCCCGGCUGACUCCGUGCCAGCCGCCGCCGUAAAAC